rnacentral:rRNA from 1 species
GACGAACGCUGGCGGCGCGCUUAACACAUGCAAGUCGAGCGAAGCGGCGGACGGGUGAGUAACACGUGAGUAACCUGCCUUAGACAUUGGGAUAGCCUCGGGAAACCGGGAUUAAUACCAAAUGGUCUAAGAUGGACUCGCGUCCCAUUAGCUAGUUGGUGGGUAACGGCCCACCAAGGCGACGAUGGGUGGCCGGCGUGGGAGGGUGAACGGCCACAUGGGAACUGGGAAACGGUCCAAACGCGACGGGAGGGAGCAGUGGGGAAUAUUGCACAAGGGAGUGAACUCUGAUGCAGCGACGCCGGGUGAACGAAGAAGGCUUUCGAGUCGUAAAGUUCUUUUAUAUGGGAAGCGGUACCAUAAGAAAAAGCCCCGGCUAACUACGUGCCAGCAGCCGCGGUAAUAC